CCUACGGGAGGCAGCAGUGAGGAAUAUUGGUCAAUGGGCGCGAGCCUGAACCAGCCAAGCAGCGUGAGGGAUGACGGCCCUGCGGGUUGUAAACUUCUUUUGUCAGGGAAUAAAGUGAGGCACGUGUCCCUGGUUGAAUGUAUUUUAUGAAUAAGGAUCGGCUAACUCCGUGCCAGCAGCCGCGGUAAUACGGAGGAUCCGAGCGUUAUCCGGAUUUAUUGGGUUUAAAGGGAGCGUAGAUGGGUUGUUAAGUCAGUUGUGAAAGUUUGCGGCUCAACCGUAAGAUUGCAAUUGAUACUGGCAGCCUUGAGUACAGUUGAGGUAGGCGGAAUUCGUGGUGUAGCGGUGAAAUGCUUAGAUAUCACGAAGAACUCCGAUUGCGAAGGCAGCCUACUAAACUGCCACUGACAUUGAUGCUCGAAAGUGUGGGUAUCGAACAGGAUUAGAUACCCGUGUAGUC
rnacentral:rRNA from 1 species